UGGGGAAUAUUGCACAAUGGAGGGAACUCUGAUGCAGCGACGCCGCGUGAGUGAUGAAGGAAUUCGUUUCGUAAAACUCUGUUCUAUGGGAAGAAAAGGACUGUACCAUAGGAGAAAGCUCCGGCUAAAUACUUGCCAGCAGCCGCGGUAAUACGUAUGGAGCGAGCGUUUUCCGGAAUUAUUGGGCGUAAAGGGUGCGCAGGCGGCUUUACAAGUUGGAUGUGAAAUAUUGUGGCUCAACCACAAACGUGCAUCCAAAACUGCAAAGCUUGAGUUAAGGAGAGGUAAGUGGAAUUCCUGGUGUAGCGGUGGAAUGCGUAGAUAUCAGGAGGAAUACCGGUGGCGAAGGCGACUUACUGGACUUAAACUGACGCUCAGGCACGAAAGCGUGGGGAGCAAACAGG
rnacentral:rRNA from 1 species